rnacentral:rRNA from 1 species
ACUGAUUGAUGGUGCUUGCACCUGAUUGACGAUGGAUCACCAGUGAGUGGCGGACGGGUGAGUAACACGUAGGUAACCUGCCCCGGAGCGGGGGAUAACAUUUGGAAACAGAUGCUAAUACCGCAUAACAACAAAAGCUGCAUGGCUUUUGUUUGAAAGAUGGCUUUGGCUAUCACUCUGGGAUGGACCUGCGGUGCAUUAGCUAGUUGGUAAGGUAACGGCUUACCAAGGCGAUGAUGUAUAGCCGAGUUGAGAGACUAAUCGGCCACAAUGGAACUGAGACACGGUCCAUACUCCUACGGGAGGCAGCAGUAGGGAAUCUUCCACAAUGGGCGCAAGCCUGAUGGAGCAACACCGCGUGAGUGAAGAAGGGUUUCGGCUCGUAAAGCUCUGUUGUUGGAGAAGAACGUGCGUGAGAGCAACUGUUCACGCAGUGACGGUAUCCAACCAGAAAGUCACGGCUAACUACGUGCCAGCAGCCGCGGUAAUACGUAGGUGGCAAGCGUUAUCCGGAUUUAUUGGGCGUAAAGCGAGCGCAGGCGGUCGCUUAGGUCUGAUGUGAAAGUCUUCGGCUUAACCGAAGAAGUGCAUCGGAAACCGGGCGACUUGAGUGCAGAAGAGGACAGUGGAACUCCAUGUGUAGCGGUGGAAUGCGUAGAUAUAUGGAAGAACACCAGUGGCGAAGGCGGCUGUCUGGUCUGCAACUGACGCUGA